GCCUGUUGAUAUAUAUGGAAAAGAUUGCCUGUUGUUAGUUGACUUUGCUGUCUGUUAUUAGUGUUAUAUCUUAGUAUUUUAUCUUCUAGCCGCUUGAUAAAUUAACGUAAUUUUACCUAUAAUUUUAAGCCUCACUUUGACCCGGUGAUCUAAAAGCAAAAUAUACCAGCAGAAGACCCUAGGGAAUCGUGGUAUUGAGAGAGCCCUGCUUUCAAAGGCUGUGAGUGACCCAGGACAAUGACCAUUCUAAAGAUGGUUGAACUGAGGUGCAAAGGGGCGUAUAAUUUAUUCAAGGGCACAGCUGCCACGUUAAACAACUUUGCUGCUGCUGCACAGCCCAGGCUCUUCUGCACGGUUGCUGUGGACCCCCAGAAGGCAGGAGCUCUGCCCCUGCAGCCUCUCCACCGGGAAGUGAACCCCACAAGUGUUUCCCAAUCUCUGGAGUAUGGAACCUUUUCCUGCUGCGCACCACCUGUUGACAUCCCAAGGAAACACUGCUCUGUGUAAACUUUCUGGAGUA